rnacentral:rRNA from 1 species
AACGAACGCUGGCGGCAUGCCUAACACAUGCAAGUCGAACGAGACCUUCGGGUCUAGUGGCGCACGGGUGCGUAACGCGUGGGAAACUGCCCUUAGGUUCGGAAUAACUCCCCGAAAGGGGUGCUAAUACCGGAUAAUGUCUUCGGACCAAAGAUUUAUCGCCUUUGGAUGGGCCCGCGUUGGAUUAGCUAGUUGGUAGGGUAAAAGCCUACCAAGGCGACGAUCCAUAGCUGGUCUGAGAGGAUGAUCAGCCACACUGGGACUGAGACACGGCCCAGACUCCUACGGGAGGCAGCAGUGGGGAAUAUUGGACAAUGGGCGAAAGCCUGAUCCAGCAAUGCUGCGUGAGUGAUGAAGGCCUUAGGGUUGUAAAGCUCGUUUACCCGGGAUGAUAAUGACAGUACCGGGAGAAUAAGCUCCGGCUAACUCCGUG